UCUGAUUGUCAAGAUGCUCAGAAAUGUCUU
rnacentral:piRNA from 1 species